GAAGGGGUUGAAGAAGAUCCUGAGAACAAUGAGGAUGCCCCUGAUGAUGUGGUAGGGGGUGAGGGUGAAGAAAAGGAACAGGAAAAGACUGCCCGUCCACGCAAUACAACAAAAUAUAUGACCAAGUAUGAGCGGGCACGCAUCCUUGGCACACGUGCUUUGCAGAUAAGCAUGAAUGCCCCAGUUAUGGUUGAGCUUGAGGGCGAAACUGAUCCUCUUGAGAUUGCCAUGAAAGAACUGAGAGCACGCAAGAUCCCCUUCACGAUUAGGCGGUACUUACCUGAUGGAAGCUACGAGGACUGGGGAGUCGACGAGCUCAUUGUGGAGGACUCGUGGAAGCGUCAGGUUGGCGGGGACUAA
rnacentral:rRNA from 1 species